GUUCCCCUUUCAUCUCUUUCACUUCUGUAGAAUAUAUGAGGUUUUCAUUUUGCUUUAAAAUCUACUGAAGUGGAAUAGUUCGUUUUUAGCCUAAUUCAUGCAUGUAUAUAUAUAUAUAUAUUUAUAUAUUUGAUUCAAAUUAUCAUAUAUUCUUUUUGUUCUUUGAGUCUCGUUAACGGAGAUGUAUAUGGAUUUAUUUAAUUUCUUGACUUCAAAUCACGAUUUCUUGUUGUUGAUCACGAUUGAAUUGUUAUGUUGGUCCUUUGCAGCAUGAAACAUUCUUUCUGUUAUUUGGUUGCUGAGAAAUGUGCAUGAAUGAAAGUAAAAUUUUGUUUAUAUUAUUUUUGUUGUGAAAUUAUUGGGGAGAAUCAGAUAUUUUGGAUGCCCAUAUGGUUAAUGUUGAUGUAUUAUAGUUGGUAACUGAUUAUUUGAAAUCUUAAAUCAUUUUGGGGAUUUGGGUUGGGCAUUUUUUCUGAUAGUAAAUACUGAAUUUGAUCACUUAGACUGUUGAUAAUGGAUUUCAUAACUUGAAUCAUAUAUCAUUUUUAUGGGAGGAAACUCUGUUGUUUCCAUUCUUCAAAUUACGUACAAAUAGCUAUGACUGUGUAGAUCAUAUGUUUAAGCUUAACUAAACAAGAAACAUAGGCUAUGUGAAAAGUCUUUUUUAUAAAAUGAGUAAGACUUUCAAGUAAUUUAUAGAUCAUAUGUUUCAAGUAAUUUAAAAUUUUAGGCAUCGGGUUUCCUAGCUUCUAAUGUAAAUGUUUCCGAAACAUGAGCUAGCUAGCUAGCUUUGGCAGAGAAACUAGUUAUGAUCAGAUCAGACCACUAAAGAAAUAAUCAAAUAAAGAGAUAGAAUAAUUGUAGAAGAAAGUUUUAGAGUGUUCUUUUUUUCUUGUUCUUUGUCAGUAAAGUGGAAUGAGAUUGUUAUGCUCUCAUUGCCACAAGUUACAAGGCAUUAGUUUAAAUCAUACUAAGUUCCCUUUUCCGUUGAAGAAUUAUCACCGAUAGUUUUGUGGAGAUUUGGGAAGAGGAGGACUUCUUCGUACAAAUCGCGUUUUUGGAUUUCGGGUAAGUCCAAAUCUCUCCUCUCCUUGUUUGUCUCGCAGCUAUCAUUUACCUAGACAUAUAAUGUGUUUAUUUAUCAAGGAAAAAUGACUUAGCUAUUGACUUUGUUGGCUGUGAUUAUUUAUGCUGGUUCUUUGUGCAUAUGAUAGAUAAUUUAUUUGGUGUUCAUGGUUGUAUGCAAAAAGGAACAUUCAUAUUUUUGAGAUGUGAUAAUCUCUAAUCUGUCGUAUAAGUUUAUUGCCUUUAACACCGCCUGUAGAACACUAUAUACAUCGAUCAUAUGAUCGACUAAUUACAAAGGAAGUUCUUGAAUAGAAAAUAUGUCCAUUCUUAUGUCAAGUGAUGGGUCAUUAAGAAUAAUAAUAAUAAUAAUCACCAUUGUUGGAUUGGGAUAGUGCUUUAAUUUUAAUUAUUGUUAUAUUGAUGGGGGUUGUUGUUGUUGUUGGGAGUGGUAGGUUUUUUUGUUUAGAAAGAAACUUAGUACUUCUAGAAUAUUAAAUUGGUGAGAUAAUGUAACUGCUGGCACUAUAAACUAGAGGGGGUUUGAUACUUUUGGUUCUUCUAAUUUUACAACACUCAGACAAGUCUAAGAUCAUUUUUUUUCUUUAGACAAAUGUAUUUGGCGUUUUAUCUUGCCCAAUUAGCUUUGUUUCUUUAAAUAACUAGCAGAAGUCUAUGUCUUUAGGAUUUGCAGCUUUGGACAGCUUAGAUUUAGACCUGCUGCUGAGAUAAGAUAUAGUGGUGGGGAGGGAGGAAGGGGGACUAUAUAUAUAGGGUUUAUUUUCACUAUAUAUAUUAAAAAUAAAUAAAAAAGAUUGGCGUCUUGUUUCUUUUCUCAUUUACUUUAAUGAUUUAGUGACUUUAAAAAUAAGUAAAUAAUAAGGGCUUUUAUUGCCAUCAAGUUUGAAUUUUAAGCAUUUGUAGUGCAUAGAAUUCAAUAAAAGAAACUACAUCUUUAUAUAUACAUCUUGAUUGGCUUAAUGAAAAGAUAGGGUUAGGAUGCAUUUCAGUUUUGCUUACCAAAAUAAUAUAAACUACACCACAAGCAAAAAGCAUGUAGCUUGCUAAGUUUUGAAGGAAAUUAAGGUUCCUUUUCUCACUAGAAUAGUCAGGAAAAGCCCUUAUCAUCACUGCAACACUAAAGGGAACAAUCAAGUAGUUUAUAGAGUCAAAUAAAUUUCUAUCAUCAUCUUCAAUCAAUUAAUACAGUAGAGAUUUCUUAAAUCAUUCUUUAUUUUACAAACAUGAUAUUUUGACAUAUUGCCCUUCUUUUCCUUGGAAUAAAAGAUCUUGAAGUGUCAUACAUUUGUCUUAACUCUCCACUGCUAUUGUAGAAAAGAAAUUUCAAGGGUGUCUUGUUAUAUACUUGUUAUAUUUUUCUGGUUAUUUCCCAUGUCUCGCAAGUCCCUAUUGCAUGCAGGGUGUUGAUUUCUCACCUACUAUCUUCCACUUUUAGGGCAACCAAUUGGACUGUAUAGUUCAAGUCAGACGCUCCAUAUAGUAACGAAGAGAUCAAUGUAGUACGGGAUGAGUGGGUCGAAUUUGUGAAGCCUUUGAUUAUGGAUUUAGUACAAGGUUACUACUUUUGUUAUAAUACAUGAGUAACAAGUUUUAUGAUUAUUGUUAUAUGUUACAUAUAUAAUUAGUUUAUAUUUAGUUUACGAUAUACAUGAAAUUUAAGUUUUAGGAUCGAUUCUAUUAACAAUUUUGGUAUUGUGUGAUUAAUUAAUAGAAUCGAUUACUAAUUUUAUGUGAGUUUUAAAAAUGUUAUUUUAAUUUGUUUUGUAUUAUGUAUUUACUAUUAUAUAGAGUUAUUUU